rnacentral:rRNA from 1 species
ACGUACACUCCUACGGGAGGCAGCAGUGGGGAAUAUUGCACAAUGGGCGCAAGCCUGAUGCAGCGACGCCGCGUGGGGGAUGAAGGCCUUCGGGUUGUAAACUCCUUUCGCUAGGGACGAAGCUUUUUUGUGACGGUACCUAGAUAAGAAGCACCGGCUAACUACGUGCCAGCAGCCGCGGUAAUACGUAGGGUGCGAGCGUUGUCCGGAAUUACUGGGCGUAAAGGGCUCGUAGGUGGUUUGUCGCGUCGUCUGUGAAAUUCUGGGGCUUAACUCCGGGCGUGCAGGCGAUACGGGCAUAACUUGAGUGCUGUAGGGGUAACUGGAAUUCCUGGUGUAGCGGUGAAAUGCGCAGAUAUCAGGAGGAACACCGAUGGCGAAGGCAGGUUACUGGGCAGUUACUGACGCUGAGGAGCGAAAGCAUGGGUAGCGAACAGGAUUAGAUACCCGAGUAGUCCCAUG